UACGGGGGGAGCAAGCGUUGUUCGGAUUUACUGGGCGUAAAGGGCGCGUAGGCGGCCAGCACAAGUCAGCUGUGAAAUCUCCGAGCUUAACUCGGAACGGUCAACUGAUACUGUGCGGCUAGAGUGCGGAAGGGGCAACUGGAAUUCUUGGUGUAGCGGUGAAAUGCGUAGAUAUCAAGAGGAACACCUGCGGCGAAGGCGGGUUGCUGGGCCGACACUGACGCUGAGGCGCGAAAGCUAGGGGAGCGAACGGG
rnacentral:rRNA from 1 species